AUGCAAGUCGAACGCGAAAGUUCCUUCGGUUUAAGGCCCCGCGUCCGGGUGAGUAACGCGUGGGUAAUCUUUAAAGGGUUAGGGAAUAACCCAGGGAAACUUGGGCUAAUACCGCAUAAUGCAGCGGCUCGACAUCGAGACAGUUUUCUAAAUCACUAAUGCGCCUGAAGAGGAGCCUGCGUCUGAUUAGCUUGUUGGUGAGGUAAUGGCUCACCAAGGCUACGAUCAGUAGCUGGUCUGAGAGGACGGCCAGCCACAAUGGCACUGAAACACGGGCCAUACUCCUACGGGAGGCAGCAGUGGGGAAUUUUGCGCAAUGGGCGGAAGCCUGACGCAGCAACGCCGCGUGAAGGAUGAAAUCCCUCGGGAUGUAAAC
rnacentral:rRNA from 1 species